rnacentral:tRNA from 1 species
AGCGCUGGCGAGCGCCCACGAGCGCUAGCCUCAUAUCUGAUAAGCGUGAGGUCGGAAGUUCAAAUCUUCCCAGGCCCA